AAAUAAGAGAAUUGGGUAUAAUGACUAUACAGUUAGAGGCAUUGGCUACAAAAAGGCGAAAAAGGAGUAAAAUCUAUAUAGUUAGAGGCAUUGGCUAUAGAAAGGUGGAAAAAGACUAGAAACUCACAAAAUUAUAACAACCACGAUAAGUCAAAGGAAAUAUCCAAAUUUAGAAAAGAGAAAAUAUUCUUAUUGCGGCA
rnacentral:lncRNA from 1 species